UACAGAGGUCCCAAGCGUUGUUCGGAUUCACUGGGCGUAAAGGGUGCGUAGGUGGUGGGGUAAGUCGGAUGUGAAAGCUCGGAGCUCAACUCCGAAAUGGCAUUGGAAACUACCCUGCUAGAGGAUUGGAGGGGGGACUGGAAUACUUGGUGUAGCAGUGAAAUGCGUAGAUAUCAAGUGGAACACCAGUGGCGAAGGCGAGUCCCUGGACAAUUCCUGACGCUCAGGCGCGAUAGCGUGGGGAUCAAACAGG
rnacentral:rRNA from 1 species